rnacentral:rRNA from 1 species
GAUGAACGCUGGCGGCGUGCCUAAUACAUGCAAGUCGAGCGAACAGAUGAGGAGCUUGCUCCUCUGACGUUAGCGGCGGACGGGUGAGUAACACGUGGAUAACCUACCUAUAAGACUGGGAUAACUUCGGGAAACCGGAGCUAAUACCGGAUAAUAUAUUGAACCGCAUGGUUCAAUAGUGAAAGACGGUCUUGCUGUCACUUAUAGAUGGAUCCGCGCCGCAUUAGCUAGUUGGUAAGGUAACGGCUUACCAAGGCAACGAUGCGUAGCCGACCUGAGAGGGUGAUCGGCCACACUGGAACUGAGACACGGUCCAGACUCCUACGGGAGGCAGCAGUAGGGAAUCUUCCGCAAUGGGCGAAAGCUUGACGGAGCAACGCCGCGUGAGUGAUGAAGGUCUUCGGAUCGUAAAACUCUGUUAUUAGGGAAGAACAAAUGUGUAAGUAACUAUGCACGUCUUGACGGUACCUAAUCAGAAAGCCACGGCUAACUACGUG